AGUGGCGGACGGGUGAGUAACGCGUGAGAAUUUGCCUUUAGGAGGGGGAUAACAAUUGGAAACGAAUGCUAAUACCCCAUAUGCUUUCGAGUGAAAUGGAUUUAUAUUUAUCCGCCUAGAGAGAAGCUCGCGUCUGAUUAGCUUGUUGGUAAGGUAAGAGCUUACCAAGGCGACGAUCAGUAUCUGGUUUGAGAGGACGAUCAGACACACUGGAACUGAGACACGGUCCAGACUCCUACGGGAGGCAGCAGUGGGGAAUUUUCCGCAAUGGGCGAAAGCCUGACGGAGCAAUACCGCGUGAGGGAAGACUGCCUAUGGGUUGUAAACCUCUUUUUUCAGGGAGGAAUAAAUGACGUGUACCUGAAGAAUAAGCAUCGGCUAACUCCGUGCCAGCAGCCGCGGUAAGACGGAGGAUGCAAGUGUUAUCCGGAAUCACUGGGCGUAAAGCGUCUGUAGGUGGUUUGAUAAGUCAACUGUUAAAUCUUGAGGCUCAACUUCAAAAUCGCAGUCGAAACUAUUAGACUAGAGUAUAGUAGAGGUAAAGGGAAUUUCCAGUGGAGCGGUGAAAUGCGUAGAUAUUGGAAAGAACACCGAUGGCGAAAGCACUUUACUGGGCUAUUACUAA
rnacentral:rRNA from 1 species